GCCAGGUACGGUGGCACACCUGUAAUCCCAGCGGCUCAGGAGGCUGAGGCAGGAGGAUCACAAGUUGAAAGCCAGCCUCAGCAACGGCGAGGUGCUAACUAACUCAGUGAGACCCUGUCUCUC
rnacentral:sRNA from 1 species